GAUGAACGCUGGCGGCGUGCCUAAUACAUGCAAGUCGAGCGAACUUUUGGGAGCUUGCUCCCAAAAGUUAGCGGCGGACGGGUGAGUAACACGUGGGUAACCUGCCUGUAAGACUGGGAUAACUUCGGGAAACCGGAGCUAAUACCGGAUAACAUUGAAGACCGCAUGGCCUUCAAUUAAAAGGUGGCUUUUAGCUACCACUUACAGAUGGACCCGCGGCGCAUUAGCUAGUUGGUGAGGUAACGGCUCACCAAGGCGACGAUGCGUAGCCGACCUGAGAGGGUGAUCGGCCACACUGGGACUGAGACACGGCCCAGACUCCUACGGGAGGCAGCAGUAGGGAAUCUUCCGCAAUGGACGAAAGUCUGACGGAGCAACGCCGCGUGAGCGAAGAAGGCCUUCGGGUCGUAAAGCUCUGUUGUUAGGGAAGAACAAGUAUCGUUCGAAUAGGGCGGUACCUUGACGGUACCUAACCAGAAAGCCACGGCUAACUACGUG
rnacentral:rRNA from 1 species